rnacentral:miRNA from 1 species
UCAGCUCACGCUACAGUUGCUCC